rnacentral:rRNA from 1 species
UACAGAGGGUGCGAGCGUUGUUCGGAAUUAUUGGGCGUAAAGCGCUGGUAGGUGGCUUGUUAAGUCGCGUGUGAAAGCUCCAGGCUCAACCUGGAAAGUGCGCGCGAAACUGGCGAGCUUGAGUGCCGGAGAGGGUCGUGGAAUUCCCAGUGUAGAGGUGAAAUUCGUAGAUAUUGGGAGGAACACCAGAGGCGAAGGCGACGACCUGGAAGGUGACUGACACUGAGCAGCGAAAGCGUGGGGAGCAAACAGG